AAAUGAAUUGACGGGGGCCCGCACAAGCAGAGGAGCAUGUGGCUUAAUUCGAUGCAACGCGAAGAACCUUACCCGGGUUUGACAUGCAGCUGCACGGCCGAUGAAAGUCGGCCUCCUUCGAGGGUGCUGCACAGGUGCUGCAUGGCUGUCGUCAGUUCGUGCCGUGAGGUGUUUGGUUAAGUCCAGCAACGAACGCAACCCCUGUGUCCAGUUGCCAUCAGGUAACGCUGGGAACUCUGGACAGACUGCCCGUUCACACGGGAGGAAGGUGGGGACGACGUCAAGUCAGUAUGGCCCUUACACCCGGGGCCGCACACGUGCUACAAUGGCCGGCACAGAGGGAAGCGAAGCCGCGAGGCCGAGCCAACCCCCAAAACCGGCCCCAGUUCGGAUCGGGGUCUGCAACCCGACCCCGUGAAGUCGGAUUUGCUAGUAACGGCGCAUCAGCUACGGCGCCGUGAAUACGUUCCCGGGCCUUGUACACACCGCCCGU
rnacentral:rRNA from 1 species